AGGGUUUGAUCAUGGUUUAGGACGAACGCUGGCGGCGUGCCUAAUACAUGCAAGUCUAGNGGGUANCGAAAGAUACCAGCGGCGGACGGGUGAGGAACACGUGGGGAAUCUGCCUAACAGACCGGAAUAACGCCUGGAAACGGGUGCUAAGGCCGGAUAGGCGCAUGAGGCGCAUGCCCGAUGCGGGAAAGGAUGCUGAGGCAUCGCUGAGAGAGGACCCCGCGGCGCAUUAGCUAGUUGGUAGGGUAAAGGCCUACCAAGGCGACGAUGCGUAGCCGACCUGAGAGGGUGACCGGCCACACUGGGACUGAGACACGGCCCAGACUCCUACGGGAGGCAGCAGUAGGGAAUCUUCCGCAAUGGGCGCAAGCCUGACGGAGCAACGCCGCGUGAGCGAGGAAGGCCUUCGGGUUGUAAAGCUCAGUCAAGGGGGAAGAGCGGCAAGGAGAGGGAAUGCUCUUUGCGAGACGGUACCCCGAGAGGAAGCCCCGGCAAACUACGUGCCAGCAGCCGCGGUAAUACGUAGGGGGCAAGCGUUGUCCGGAAUCACUGGGCGUAAAGGGUGCGUAGGCGGUUCUGCAAGUCUGGGGUGAAAGGCCAGGGCUCAACCUUGGGAAGCCUUGGAAAUGUANGACUUGAGUACUGGAGAGGCAAAGGGGAAUCCACGUGUAGCGGUGAAAUGCGUAAAGAUGUGGAGGAANACCAGUGGCGAAGCGCCUUGCUGGACAGUGACUGACCUGAAGCACGAAAACGUGGGGAGCAAACAGGAUAGAAACCCUGGAAGUCCACGCCGUAAACAAGAAUGCUAAGGGUUGGGGGGGACCACCUCAGGGCCGAAGGAAACCCAAAAAGCACUCCGCCGGGGGAGACGGGCCCAAAAUGAAACCAAGGAUUGA
rnacentral:rRNA from 1 species